AUUUAACCCUUUCGUUGCCGGAGGGUCCUCCAGCCAGUCUUCCCCAGGCUUGACGGGGAGGGGGAGGGGACUUGGCCAAUCGCUAAUAUGGUCUGCACCCCUCACUUUCCAUCUGCUUCCAGCAUCUCUCCAGUUCUGGCAGGGGGCAUCAGUUACCUUCCCUCCAGUCCUGCCCCUGUCUGACGGGUGAGGAGGGAGGGAGCGUGGAGGAGUGUGCUGAGGACUGGGGGCCAGAGGACGGCGGCACCAGAAGGGUUACACCUCCCUACACCUUAAUCCCAGUCCCAGAGCCCCCCUUUCACGCAGCCUUGACCCCCUACCCUCUCAACCCUGCUGUUUUAAUUGGCAUGGAGGGGGCGUGGCCGUAUCCCGGGGUGGGGAGCACCGCCCCCCAACCUCCCAGAGCCACCUGGUUCUGCCCUGGGGAGUCAGGGUGCAAAGGCCAGACAGGCCUCCCACCAGCAUUCCAGCUGCCACUGGGAACACAGCUGUCAGCAGGGCCAAGAGAGCCAAAAGUCACCUCCCAACCAGGCCCACAUAAUUGGUACAUUGUCAGCUCAGAAACAGAGCUUCUCUGGGCUCUUGGGCAAGCCCCAGUCCUCUCUGGGCCUUGGUUUCUUCAUCUGGCUGCAGUGCAUUGGACUAGACGAUUUCCAAGGGCCCUCUCAGCUUGGAAUGUUGCCUGGGGAGUGACUGGGGGCGGCAGCUGUGGCAAGGUCCAGGCAGCUGUGGGUGGGCCUCAGGUAUCUGACCCAAGGAAUCUGGCCUCUGCCUCACCUGCUUGCCGGGGUCACAGCUGGGCCCUCUCCCACAUCUUUGCAGGAUGGCUGGGUGGACAGACAGAUGGACAAAGGUAUGAAGGAGAGCGGCAGGGGAGGAAGGGGGAAGGAGACCCUCAAGCAGUGCUCCAGGGGCUGAGCACCCCCUGUGGAGGGAGGAGGACAAAAGGUGGAGGGAGCCCCGCCCCCAGCCCUCCUGGCCUCCUUUGUUUACUGGACAAACUCCUGCUGCUUACUCUGCCCAACAGGGCAAUCUGUGGGGAAGACAAAGGUUGGACACACGCUUACCUGCGUGGGGUGAAUGCUGUGGUAUCAGUCUUGGGGGCCAGGGAGGAGACACCCAGCUCAGCUGUGGGAGUGAAGAAAGGCCUCUAG
rnacentral:lncRNA from 1 species